rnacentral:rRNA from 1 species
UCUCCAAGUUAAGGGCGCAUGGCGGAUGCCUUGGCUCACUCAGGCGAUGAAGGACGCGAUAAGCUGCGAUAAUCCGCGGGUAGGUGCAAAUAACCAUUGAUCCGCGGGUUUCCGAAUGGGACAACCCGUAUGUCUUAACGACAUUCAUCCACUUUAAUAGUGGAGGCCAACGGAGGGAACUGAAACAUCUUAGUACCUCCAGGAAAAGAAAAUAAAUUAAUGAUUCCCCCAGUAGUGGCGAGCGACCGGGGAACAGCCCAAACCGUCCGGGUCUUAGGCUCGGUCGGGGUAGUAGGACCGCGUCGUUGCACUUUAAUUUUGAGUGGAACCGGCUGGAAAGCCGGGCCAUAGCGGGUGAAAGCCCCUUACACGAAAAGAUUAAAGGCAUAGCGGUAUCCUGAGUAACGCGGAGCACGAGGAAUUCUGCGCGAAUCCGCCGGGACCAUCCGGCAAGGCUAAAUACUCGAGUGAGACCGAUAGUGUACCAGUACCGUGAGGGAAAGGUGAAAAGCACUUCUACAAGAAGAGUGAAAUAGUUCCUGAAACCAUGCGCCUACAAGCGGUCGGAGCGUGUAUUUACACGUGACGGCGUGCGCGUUGAAAAGCUUCUGGAUGAGGUGUGUGUAGGAGUGAAAGGCCAAUCAAACUUGGAGAUAGCUCGUACUCCCCGAAAGGCAUUUAGGUGCCGCGUGCGAUGAUCCGCGUGAGAGGUAGAGCGACCGAUAGGUCGAGAGGGCUUCACCGCCUGUCAAGACCUGACGAACUCCGAAUGCUCACGCGCCGCAGUCGCGCAGUAAGGGGGCGGGUGCUAAGGUCCGUCCCCGAGAGGAGAAGAAUCCAGACCGUCGUCUAAGGUCCCGGAAUUCUGCCUGAGUUAGUCUAACGAAGUCUGGUCCCCGUGACAGCCAGGAUGUUGGCUUGGAAGCAGCCAUUCAUUCAAAGAGUGCGUAACAGCUCACUGGUCGAGGGUCCGGGCAUGGAUAAUAAUCGGGUAUAAGGCAGAUACCGAAGGCGCGGGAUAGCAAAUUAUAAAAGUAUCGGUAGGGGAGCAUUCCAUCGGCGUCGAAUGCGGGGGUUGACCCCCGCUGGAGCUUAUGGAAACGCAAAUGUAGGUAUAAGUAACGACAAGGAGGGCGAGAACCCCUCCCGCCGUAAGUCUAAGGUUUCCCGGGCAAUGCCAGUCAUCCCGGGGUCAGUCGGGUCCUAAGCCUCAGCCUAAUGGCGAAGGCGAUGGCCUAAACGGUUAAUAUUCCGUUACUUCCUUUUGGAGCGAUGUGGUGACGGAGCAGUGAAACGGCCGCGGGGCGACGGAAGUCCCCGUUGAAGAGUGUAGGCGUAGACAUGGGCAGGCAAAUCCACCCAUUGAGCCGACCUUGAUAGUAUGGAUUUCCCUUCGGGGCGAUCCAAUAGCGCCGGUAAUCAUACUCCCAAGAAAACCCGCUAAGCAUAUCCAUUGGGAACCCGUACCGCAAACCGACACAGGUAGACGGGUAGAACAUACUAAGGCGUUGAGAGAUUCAUGGUUAAGGAACUAGGCAAACUGACCCUGUAACUUCGGGAUAAAGGGUCCUCGUAAUUUACGAGGCGCAGAGAAUAGGUCCAGGCAACUGUUUAACAAAAACACAGGGCUGUGCUAACACGAAAGUAGAUGUAUACAGCCUGACACCUGCCCGGUGCCGGAAGGUUAAGAGGAGAGGUCAUCCCUAUUAGGGUGCCGCCUUGAAUUGAAGCCCCGGUAAACGGCGGCCGUAACUAUAACGGUCCUAAGGUAGCGAAAUUCCUUGUCGGGUAAGUUCCGACCUGCACGAAUGGUGU